rnacentral:rRNA from 1 species
UCAUACCUACGGGAGGCAGCAGUGGGGAAUAUUGCACAAUGGGGGGAACCCUGAUGCAGCGACGCCGCGUGAGGGAUGAAGGUCUUCGGAUCGUAAACCUCUGUCAGCAGGGAAGAACGGUCACUGUGCUAGUCAGCAGUGAAUUGACGGUACCUGCAAAGGAAGCACCGGCUAACUCCGUGCCAGCAGCCGCGGUAAUACGGAGGGUGCGAGCGUUAAUCGGAAUUACUGGGCGUAAAGCGCUCGUAGGCGGUAUGUCAAGUCAAGGGUGAAAUCCCCGCGCUCAACGUGGGAACUGCCUUUGA